rnacentral:rRNA from 1 species
CCUACGGGAGGCAGCAGUAGGGAAUCUUUCACAAUGGGCGAAAGCCUGAUGGAGCAACGCCGCGUGCAGGAUGACGGCCUUCGGGUUGUAAACUGCUUUUAUAUCUGAGAAAUAUGAUGGUAAGAUAUGAAUAAGGACCGGCUAACUACGUGCCAGCAGCCGCGGUAAUA